CCUACGGGGGGCAGCAGUAGGGAAUCUUCCACAAUGGGCGCAAGCCUGAUGGAGCAACACCGCGUGAGUGAAGAAGGGUUUCGGCUCGUAAAGCUCUGUUGUUGGAGAAGAACGUGCGUGAGAGUAACUGUUCACGCAGUGACGGUAUCCACCCAGACAGUCACGGCUAACUACGUGCCAGCAGCCGCGGUAAUACGUAGGUGGCAAGCGUUAUCCGGAUUUAUUGGGCGUAAAGCGAGCGCAGGCGGUUGCUUAGGUCUGAUGUGAAAGCCUUCGGCUUAACCGAAGAAGCGCAUCGGAAACCGGUCAACUUGAGUGCAGAAGAGGACAGUGGAACUCCAUGUGUAGCGGUGGAAUGCGUAGAUAUAUGGAAGAACACCAGUGGCGAAGGCGGCUGUCUGGUCUGCAACUGACGCUGAGGCUCGAAAGCAUGGGUAGCGAACAGGAUUAGAUACCCUUGUAGUC
rnacentral:rRNA from 1 species